rnacentral:lncRNA from 1 species
GAAAAUUCUAAUUUAAUUUGUUUUAUUUCUACCUGUAGUUCAGAAUUUGUAAUUUGUUUCGGUUUUAUUUUUUUCAUAUUUAUUAAAUAUUAUAUCUUGUAUAUUAUACAUUUGUGAUUGACUAGAAAUAAUUUCUUUUUCUUUUUCUUUUUCUGGUUUAUCUUUUAAUGAUGAUUUUAAUUUUAAAAGAUAUUCUCUUUUAAGUUUUGGGUCUUGAAUUUUAUCAAUAAUUUCGAUCAUAAAUUUUUGUCUCUAGCUAACAUAUUAAUUGAGAGUUCAUUUUCAUCAUCAGAAGACUGAGAUGUUGUAUGUAAUUCGUCUAUUUGUAAU